AGAUUGUCUCAAGCCCCAGGAAAAAUGGUGGAAAAUUCACUGUCACCAUUGCCAGAAAGACCGAUUUAUGGCCUUCUGCUUCUCUUAAGCUCCCAAUUUGGCUUCAUACUUUACCUCGUGUAGGCUUCUAUUCCUGAAUCUUGGCUAAACUCCUUAGGUUUAACCUAUUGGCCUCAAAAAUAUUGGACAGUUGCAUUACCUCUCUACUUCCUUAUUACUAUAGUAAUUGGCUAUGUGCUCUUGUUUGUACCCCAUUCACUCGACUCCAUUCGUACAAUCACAGAUAACUAUGCUAAAAAUCAACAGCAGAAGAAAUACUAAGAGGAGGCCAUUCCAGCAUUAAGAGCUAUUUCUAUUUAGUGAAGUAAACCAAAUUUUCUUUCUUGUAGCCAAAGACCUUUACACCAAAAACUGA
rnacentral:lncRNA from 1 species